rnacentral:rRNA from 1 species
GACGAACGCUGGCGGCGUGCUUAACACAUGCAAGUCGAACGGAAAGGCCUCUUUCGGGGGGUACUCGAGUGGCGAACGGGUGAGUAACACGUGAGUAACCUGCCCUUGACUUUGGGAUAACUUCAGGAAACUGGGGCUAAUACCGGAUAGGAGCUCCUGCUGCAUGGUGGGGGUUGGAAAGUUUCGGCGGUUGGGGAUGGACUCGCGGCUUAUCAGCUUGUUGGUGGGGUAGUGGCUUACCAAGGCUUUGACGGGUAUCCGGCCUGAGAGGGUGACCGGCCACAUUGGGACUGAGAAACGGCCCAGACUCCUACGGGAGGCAGCAGGGGGGAAUAUUGCACAAUGGGUGGAAGCCUGAUGCAGCAACGCCGUGUGCGGGAUGACGGCCUUCGGGUUGGAAACCGCUUUCGCUCAUGACGAAGCUUUGUGUGACGGUAGUGGGUAAAGAAGCACCGGCUAACUACGUG